UACGUAGGGCGCAAGCGUUUAUCCGGAAUUAUUGGGCGUAAAGAGCUCGUAGGCGGUUUGUCACGUCGGAUGUGAAACCCUGAGGCUCAACCUCAGGCCUGCAUUCGAUACGGGCAGACUAGAAUUCGGCAGGGGAGACUGGAAUUCCUGGUGUAGCGGUGAAAUGCGCAGAUAUCAGGAGGAACACCGGUGGCGAAGGCGGGUCUCUGGGCCGAUAUUGACGCUGAGGAGCGAAAGCGUGGGGAGCAAACAGG
rnacentral:rRNA from 1 species